rnacentral:lncRNA from 1 species
CACUGCCCUUGUCCAAAGACGGUGGAUUUGUUGAUUGUGCAUGUUCUGGGAGGAACGUAUGUUUCAUUUCUGUGGGAUUUUGUGUUUGCUGUAUUAAUCUAUUGGUCAGUUGAUUUAUUUAUUCAGUGAAUACUUGUUGGUAGUUUAACCUGUGCAAGCCCUGGGCUUGGUGUUAGUAAUGUCUGGACCAAUGAGAGAGUCACUUCCUGCCCUCCUGGAAUUGACCGACUGAUGGAGGAGGUGGGCAUUGAAAAGCAGUUACAAACCCUACAUGGCUACCAAAGUGGGGGGUCCCGUGUGAUGGGGGAGCCCCUGCUCUAGAAGCUUAGAAAGCUGAGACCUGGAGGUCAGGUGGGGGUUAAGACGGGCCGUGAGUGGGCAAGCCCUCCUGGGCAGCCAGUCCUGCAGGAGAAAGGGGCUAAGGGCACACACCCAGCCUACCCUCUUUGUGCCUCUCCCUCACUGCCCUCCAGAUGUUCAGGUGGAUGUUCAGGUGGAUGUUCAGGUGGGGAUGUUCAGGUAGAGAUUGUUCAGGCUGACGUUCAGGUGGGGAUGUUCAGGUGGUGAUGUUCAGGCGGAUGUUCAGGUGGUGAUGUUCAGGCGGAUGUUCAGGUGGAGAUGUUCAGGCGGAUGUUCAGGCGGGGAUUGUUCAGGCAGAUGGUCAGGCGGGGAUGUUCAGGUGGAGAUUGUUCAGGCGGACGUUCAGCCAGGGAUGUUCAGGUGGGGAUGUUCAGGCGGGGAUGUUCAGGUGGACGUUCAGGUGGAUGUUCAGGUGGGGGUGUUCAGGUGGAUGUUCAGGUAGGGAUGUUCAGGUGGAUGUUCAGGUGGGGAUGUUCAGGUGGACGUUCAGGUGGAUGUUCAGGUGGGGAUGUUCAGGUGGACGUUCAGGUGGGGACAUUCAGGCGGGGACCUUCAGGCAGGGAUGUUCAGGCGGACGUUCAGGUGGGGAUGUUCAGGCGGAGCAGGGAGCUUUGCAGAGGUCGGCUUUUGGAGAAUGGCUGUAGCUGGAAAGCAUACCCCAUCUGAAGAAGUCCUCUGUGUUUCCUCAGAUACCAGGGUUUACUUUUAAUGUAACAGGGAUUAUUUAGGGAAAAGGGCCAGAGUGAUUGUACAGAGCCCUUUGAGAAAAAUUACUAUUCAGAUCUCAUCUCUGCUUUAUUAAUUGUAGUGUGAUUUAAAAAAAGAAG